GUGAUGAAUUCUGCCAUGUGGUACCAGACUGCUACCCAGACCACAGUGUCCUCUGCAACCCUCGUAACUCACAUACAGGCCUGAUUCCACCUACAGCAAAGCUGGAUGCUAUGGUUGGCAGAGGCAAACCCUUUGCCUGCACUUCAGGCCAAAGCCGGGAUGUGGCCUAGAUGGUUCCUAAGCUUCUCAGAUGACCAAGAUGGUGCUGCAGAUGGUGCUGAGGAUGGAGAACCCACCAAGCCCCGCUAGGAGCCACCUAGACUGGAUGUAGAGCAUGGACAAUUUGCUGAGGUCUGGGAGCACCCCCUCCAGAGAGUCCCUGAUCUCUCAAAACUUGGUCGUGAUCUAAAGUUUAUUUGAUGUACAACUCCCCCUCCCCUUCUUUUGGAGUUUUAUUUGCUUCCAAGAAGGAAGGCAAGAUUUCCUGGGUCCGUGAUGAUGGAAGGCUGACAACUCUUUUAUGGAGUUUGAGCUUGCUCCCAGCAGGGAAGACAAGUUCGAGUUUUUUUCCUGCUUCAAGGAUGGUAGAGAGCAGUCUUCAGCCUGAGACCCAUCCCUAG
rnacentral:lncRNA from 1 species